rnacentral:misc_RNA from 1 species
UCGUAAAACAGAGGUGCGAGGGCUGUCGCUGACCUUCAAGGGUCGUGCACGCCCAAGUGCUCUCACACAAUCCAUCUCACCCCAUUGUGCAUCACCGCGUGGGUCCCCCUUUGCAGGAGGGUUCGCGUUUUCACAUCAAACUUGAUACAGUGUAGAAUGUUUAUUUUUGCGAUCACACGCAAUCAAUA